rnacentral:tRNA from 1 species
CAGGCCGUGCGGCGGGUAACGGAGAAACAGUUCGUCUCUAAUGCGGGCGACGAUCUGGAUGUGAUCGGCGUCGCGUUCGAUGCCGGAAUGGCCUGU